rnacentral:rRNA from 1 species
GACGAACGCUGGCGGCGUGCUUAACACAUGCAAGUCGAACGGAACGGCCUGCGUUCCCUUGUGGCUUGCGGGUACUCGGGUGGCGAACGGCUGAGUAACACGUGAGUGAUCUGCCCCCAACUUGGGUAUAAGCCUGUGAAACUGGGUCUAAUGCUCUAUAGCACUGCAGGCGGCUGCCUUUUGUGGAACACGAUGUUCUAGUUGUUGGUGAUGAGCGCCCGGCCUAUCUGCUUGUUGCUGGGGUAAUGGCCUACCAAUGCGGAGACGGGGAGCCAGCCAGAGAGGGUGUACGGAGACAGUGGGACUGAGAAACGGCCCAGACACCUACGGGCGGCAGCAGUGGGGAAGAGAGGCAACGGUGGGGAAGCCUGAUGAAGCGACGAAGGGCGGAGGAUGACGGGCUUCGGGUUGUAUGCUCCUUUCGAGCGCGAGGAAGCCUCCUGGUUGGGAGGGUGGUGACGGUAGUGGUAGAAGAAGCCCCGGCUAACUACGUG